rnacentral:rRNA from 1 species
CCUACGGGUGGCAGCAGUGAGGAAUAUUGGUCAAUGGGCGAACGUCUGAACCAGCCAAGUAGCGUGAAGGAUGACUGCCCUAUGGGUUGUAAACUUCUUUUAUCUGGGAGUAAAGUGUUCCACGUGUGGGAUUUUGUAUGUAACAUAUGAAUAAGGCUUGGCUAACUCCGUGCCAGCAGCCGCGGUAAUAAGGAGGAUCCGAGCGUUAUCCGGAUUUAUUGGGUUUAAAGGGAGCGUAGGUGGAUUGUUAAGUCAGUUGGGAAAGUUUCCGGCUUAACCGUAACAUUGCAGUUGAAACUGGCAGUCUUGAGUACAGUAGAGGUAUGCGGAAUGCGUGGUGUAGCGGUGAAAUGCUUAGAUAUCACGAAGAACUCCGAUUGCGAAGGCAGCUCACUGGAGUGCAACUGACACUGAGGCACGAAAGUGUGGGUAUCAAACAGGAUUAGAUACCCCUGUAGUC